rnacentral:rRNA from 1 species
CAGUAGCCACGGUAAUACGUAGGUCCCGAGCGUUGUCCGGAUUUAUUGGGCGUAAAGCGAGCGCAGGCGGUUAGAUAAGUCUGAAGUUAAAGGCUGUGGCUUAACCAUAGUACGCUUUGGAAACCGUUUAACUUGAGUGCAAGAGGGGAGAGUGGAAUUCCAUGUGUAACGGUGAAAUGCGCAGAUAUAUGGAGGAACACCGGUGGCGAAAGCGGCUCUCUGGCUUGUAACUGACGCUGAGGCUCGAAAGCGUGGGGAGCAAACAGGAUUAGAUACCCCUGUAGUCCCUGUCUCUUAUACA